rnacentral:miRNA from 1 species
UCCGAUCAAAUAGAUCGGAUA